rnacentral:rRNA from 1 species
UACGGAGGGGGCGAGCGUUAUUCGGAAUUAUUGGGCGUAAAGGGCGCGUAGGCGGCUUGAUGUGUCAAAGGUGAAAUCCCUCGGCUCAACUGAGGAACUGCCUUUGAAACUGUCUGGCUUGAGGCCGGGAGAGGGUAGCGGAAUUCCGAGUGUAGCGGUGAAAUGCGUAGAUACUGGGAGGAACACCGGUGGCGAAGGCGGCUACCUGGACCGGUUCUGACGCUGAUGCGCGAAAGCGUGGGUAGCAAACAGG